rnacentral:lncRNA from 1 species
AUUUGAAAGAUGAUUUCAGACCAUAGGAAAUACUGACUCUCCUUUUCUAAAAAGACAACUGAUUUUCUUAUGCUUUUAAGUUCAAAUGUAUCUUGUCUCCUUUUGAUUAAUUAAAACAACACGUUAUCAAAAACUUUAACAGAAAAUAUUCUUAUUAUUUAUUGAAUCAGAAGAGAAACAGGAAAUACUGUGCUUUCUUGGGCCUGUUUCCUAUACCCCAACAUCAUAAGAAUUGUUGUUGCUUCUAUAAUGUUCAGCUUCAAAUUAUUUUGCUUGAUCAAUCAAAAUGAAUUACCUGAAUUUUCUCCUCCGUUCAAAAAGGAACUGCAUUCACCUACCUACCCCCAGCCCUAGGACUGUUUCUUUUAUUCCAAUAGUUUGUGAUAUCCUUGACUUCACAGCAGAAAGCUGUGAGUCUCCCAAACCCCUUCAGUCAGGUCCCGUGGAGGCUGCCUUCUAAAGUCUCUUCGGUCUUCUUUCUUUGAAUGUUCAUGGCCACCUUGUUGGUUAGACUCUUAUCCCUGACUGUAAGAGAUCCCUCAGGUCUUCCUGCCUGUGGCCAUGCCUAAUUUGUAACCUUCCUAAAAUGUGAUGUGAUCAUGUCACUGCCUUGCUUAGAAGCCCUGCACUGGCUUCCAACACAUGCAGAAUCAAGUGCUUGCUGUUUAACAUGGUCUACCCAGUCCUCCAGAUUCUGGCUUCCAGUUAUUUUCUCAGCCUCAAAAAAGCACCUCACUCUCAAACAUAUCAAAUAGCUUGAGCCCUCCUGCCUCCUGUUCAUACCACCAUUCCUUCCCCUCUACCUGGAUGCUCCUCCCUUCAGCCGCCCCUCCAGCUGUAAGCUCCCAUGGAUUGACUGGUUCUUGAGUGUUUUAUUGCACUUUGGACCUCCCGUCUCUCACUCCUGGCUUCUGUCUGUCUACUUGUCUUGACCCGCCACUUGCACUGCCUCUGGCUUAUCUGCCUAAUUCUGGUUGACAGUGUUAUUUGUUAGCUUCAUAUCUACUGGCUCUCUCAAUUAUUUCUCAGCCUCCCCACACCAGGCUCCUUGCCCUGUAUUUAUAAGCUGCUAUUGGCUUGAGGGUGACUGUGACUUUCUAAUAAAACUAUUUUAUAGACUGAUAGUUACAAGGGUAUAGUAGAAAAGAAAUGAAUCUACCUUUGAGUGUAUUUCAACAUAUCUAGUGAUCCAUAAAUAUUUUCUUCUUAUUAUUAUCAUUAUUGUUAUUUUUAAAUAGACAAUCAGGGAAGGCAGAGUCUAGGCCACCAAUCUGAACUUAGGCAUUCAUCUUUAUUAAGAUAUUUGGGAUCUCUGCAAGUAUUCUGAAUUUUAAAUGGCAUUCAGUGAUUCGAUAAAAUAGGAAUUUUGUUUUACUCUGAACUGAGUAGAGUUUCAGCAACUGGC